rnacentral:lncRNA from 1 species
GAAAAAAUGGAUUUCAUAAGUCGAUGAUCAUUGGAGAGAAUUUAAGACAUAACUAACAUCAUAUUAAUAUAAGUUUCAAGCCUAAUCUUGUAGAGCCAUCUAUGAAGUAUAUUUUUAUUGAUUAGAAGAUUUGGGAUAAGUUUUUCGAGUCACAUAAAUCUCAUGAAUUCAUGGUUAGUAGGAUUCUUAUGUUGUAAGAGUAUAAUAUUAUGUUAUGCCGAUCCUUUUUAAAUACCACCAGACAAAUUACAAUUUCAACUAUUAAUAUAAUAUGCUAAGAGUUAAAAGUUAAACAAAAUGUCGCUAAAAAUCUAUAUCCGCAUAGAUUGUCUCCUGGAAUAUAUGACAAACUUAAGUUGAUAAUGAUAAGUGAAAAAAAGAAAACAAAGACAUCAAGAUCUUGGAAAUGUUUCCUUAAGCCUUGAUCAAAGUCCAUCUCCACCACCACUCCAUGAGAAGUACAAGAGAUCCCAGAAAUAAAAUGGAGUGGGGUACACAUAUGAGGUUGCACGCUUAAAUUGAUGAGAAGAUUGUAAGCAGAUUCUUUUGUCAAUAAUAUCAUUUUUAGGUCACUCCACUAUGGUAACGAAAUUUUAUUUGUGUUGUAGGACUCCUUGGCUCAAAAUACUAGUGACGAUUCCUUUAUUUCACAUGAACAUCAUAUAUUACUAUAUGGAAUUAGAAUAAUUGAGCAUGCUCAACGUGACCAUGGUAUUGGAAAAGGUAUUGACAUGAGACAAUACUUCAUACCAUCUUCAAGUAAUGUAGAUGUGUUCUUCAGAGAUAUCGGAAAUAAGCUUACUCAGAUGAUUUGAUGUUAAUUAGAGGAGAGUAUAAAAAAAUUAUGAUUGCAAUAUGUAUAUGUUUAGUUUUGUAACAAUCAUUUUUGUUUUAUAUUCUUAUAUUAUUCCUUUCUUAAAAUCAAACUAAAAACUAUUUAAUUUGUUAAAAGGUUUUGAAAAAUCACCUCUUGUGUUAUAAUUCAUCUGGAUAACACUUUGUGUAUGAAGUCAUUUGGAUAACACUUUGUGUUAAAUAGGGAGACAAUAUGGGUGAAGAAAGAGCAAUUUUGGAAGCAACAAUGUAAGCAAUCAUCAUUUUGUCCACAACCAUGACCCUUUCAAAAGUGAUGGCAUCAAGCCUUGUUGAACGAAAUCAACCUCCAUAGGACCUACCCUAGCCAAGUGUUGAGUUUGAGUCUUCUUGUACACUCUAUAUCUCUUGUCAUUACCCAUAUAGUCUGUAAGAGAAACAAACAACCAACACAAACCUAAAUGGAUCACAAAACAUACCAAGAAUUUGAACAUAUCCUUCCUGUGUGGAGGUUGUCACCAAGAACCACAUAUCUAUAUAACAUUCUUUCUCUUUAUACACCUUUAUUUUCCAAGUCUCAAUUUAAUAGUGGUAUGAAUUGUCUCUCCUUUUUGAGUAUGAUCCUCUAACUUAUAGAAUAAUUCACACCCACUAUACAGGAUGGUACACAAUUCUUAAAAAACGAGGCCUAUAAGAAUAGGAUUUUUCAAGUGAGAGUUUCGAUUGUACAAUAUUAUAUCUUAACCAAUCUCUCUCUCUGUCGUCUCUGUUGACCACCAUACAAUGAAACCAGCUUUCCAAACAGUUGUGUUUUCUGUGAUGCUCCUCACAAUGUUCACAGUGCUUCAAGUAGGGGGAAGGGAAAGUGUUGUUCAACCAACAUGCACAUCCGACUGUUCAUGUACCGUUCAUCGGUGCCAUGCUGUAACAACCACCGCCGCUUGCUUGCUAUUUAUUGUAUUCUAAUGGCACGGAGGAAUGGUGCAUGAACAGUCGGACGUGCAUGUUGGUUGGACAAGGCUUUCCCUUGCCCCUGCUUGAAGCACUGUGAACAUUGUGAGGAGCAUCACAGAAAACACAACUGUUGGGAAAAAUGGUUUCAUUGUAUGGUGGUAAACAGAGACGACAGAGAGAGAGAUUGGUC